rnacentral:lncRNA from 10 species
GCCAGUUGAAGUGAAACCAAGGAUUGUCCACUUAUCUCAGUAAUUAAGGCACAAAGAGACCCAUGCUGUUUGGGUCUGACUUUUCCAAAUCUGAGGGAUGAUGGUUUUAGCAAAUUCAGUGUGGACCAGAUCUUUGAUUCACUGUGGUCAUUCAGUCGUUUCUGAGUCAUUGCUGGACAGCAGAAGCAGACAGCUGAAUCACAGCUCAGAAAACCGUAAUGAGCUGAGCAGCAUUACAGCUUGUUUCGCUUAAUAUUUAUUCUUAAAACAUGACUUCAUUUGUGAUGGCUAUACUUGGAGAUCCAGAUACAAGUCCAGCGUGUUUGCUGUAACAAGUUAAUGCGAUGAAAUAUGGAAAAACCUAUUUGCCUCUGUCUUCAAAAUUUGCACAAAGCUCCUUUCUGGUGAGGAUUGCGUUGCACUGAUCUCUACACAUUUUCCUGGCAUGCAGUGCUGUUUGGCCCUUUAUGGGAUGGGCACAAAGACCCUGUGUCUACCUUCCCAGUGGGCUGCAUAAGAGACCGGGCACAGUGGAGACACAUACAAAGGAUCAUCGCUUGCUGCCACACUUGAGGCAUCUGCAUAUGAAUCUCACAUGUAGUUGAGAAAUCAUGGAUGUGGCAACUGUGAGUGUUUGAAGAAGUGAAGCAUUGCUGUACUCACAAAAUGCCAUGAAACUUGAAAUUAAACCUAAAGACCUUAUUAGACUCAAAUCACAUAUUUUUGGCAAGAAAAUUGUAUUGUUCAUGCUAUCAAUUGCCUUUUGUGUUAUAUGAGAAGCUGAGUGAUAUGUCAUUGUGUGAAUAUACCACAUAUACAAGCAGUUCCUUAACUAAAGGACCAACUCAGGGAAGAAGUUCAUUGGUACAAACCCCACACCAUGGGACCCCUGGAGGACUAUACCUUAGAAGCAGGGAUGAAAGAGAGACUGCCAUUCCCGUGGUUACAGCUAUUGAAAUGACACCCAUAGAAAACAGAAGAAAAUAAUUAGCUUCCACUCAUUUCCAAACCCAGUACUUUCUGGGACUCAGACUGGCUCUUCUUGCUCCUCUGCUUGCAGACAGCCUGUUGUGGAACCUUGUGAUCAGGUUGGGCUGGAAAAUCCAUUUCUCACGGUUCCAAAGGCUGGGAAGCCAGGGUCAAGGUCCUGCAGAUCCAGUGUCUGGCGAAGCCCUUCUUCCGGGUUUGGAAAUGGCUGCCUUCUCCUUCUAUCCUCACACGGCAGAGAGAGAAAGAGACUGUGAGAAACAGAGGAAGUACUCCAGGGAGUUCUGCAAUGUCUUCUAAAAGGAUGCUAAUCACAUCAUGGGGGCUCCAUCUUUGUGACCUAAUCACUUCCCAAAGGCCCCACAUCCUAAUACCGUCACAUGGGAAGUGAGGGUUUCAACAUGUGAAUUUGUGAGGGGACACAAACAUUCAGUCCAUGGCACUAACAUACCCAACACCAGAAUCUGAGUGGAGAGUUUCAUCUGGGUGAUAUCCCUUCAGUUUGUGUAAAGCCCUGAACUCCACCUCGUCUUUCUCAGCUGCUUUUCCUGUUUUCUCUGCCAUGGUGAUGCUGCUGCCUUCCACUCAAGUUAUGAGAAGACAGGGUCCCACAGUUUACCAUCUGCUUCUGUCACCCGUCUUGAGUUGGUCACAAAUUCCUACUGAUGAUACCACACAAAGGACUCCUGGGCAUGUCGUCUCCUCUCUUGAAAACAUAGGGUCUUAGUCCAGGUCUUCAUUUAUGCAUUCGUCCAACAUUUCCUGUUUUACUUUCUUUCAUGGUGUUCUCCAUGGUGGUGAUUAAAUAAGCUUCCUAAAAUACAGAAAAAAUAAUGUCAUUAUUUGCUUAAAAACUCCCCAUUUCUUCUCCAUUGCUCAUUUUUUAAAUAACACAUUUUUGUUAUUGUGGCAGGAUACGCAUAACAAAAUGACCAUUCUGAGUGCACAGUUCUGGGGUACUGAGUCCAUUCACAUGGUUGUGCAACCAUCACCACCACUCAUCUCUAGAAUGCUUUCCAUCCUUCAAAACCGAAACUUCGUACUCAUUAAACAAUUCCCCACUUCUCUCUCCCCUCAGAACCUGGCAACCACCAUUUAACUUUUUGUCUCUGUGAGUUUGACUAUUCUGGAUAUCUCAUAUAAGUGGAGUCACACGUUGUCUUUUUGUGACUGGUUUAUUUCACUUGGUUUAAUGUCUUAAGGUUCAUCCCUGUUGUGGCACAUUGCUGUGAUUUGAAUGGGUCACCUUGAAAAUCCAGGUGUUAUCAAUGUGGUACUAUUAAGAGGUGGGGGUUUUAGGUGGUGAUUAGAUCAAGAGAGCUCUUCCAUCAUGAGUGAGAUUAGGUGCCCUUAUAAAAGGACUUCAUGAAGGAGUUUGUCCCCCUUUUGCCCUUCUUCCUUUUGCCAUGUAAGAACACAGUGCUCCUCCCUUCUGGAGGCUGCAGCAAUAAGGCCUCCUCUUGGAAGUAGAGAGCCACCCUGAACCAGAUGCUGAAUCUGCUGGCAUCUUGAUCUUGGACUUAUAGCUCCCAGAACUAUAAGAAAUAAAUUUCUGUUCAUUAAUAAUUACCAGUUUUUGGUAUUUUGUCAUAGCAGCGCAAGCAGACCAAGACACAUAUAUAAGGAUUUCUUCCUUUUGAUGGGUGAAUAAUAUUCCAUUGUAUGUGUAGAGUACAUUUCAAUUAUUCUAUCAUCCAUAGGUGGACCUGAGAGGUUGCUUCCAUAUUUUGACUAUUGCAAAUAAUGCUGCUAUGAACAUGAGUAUACAGAUAUUUGGGUCCGUGCUUUCAUUCCUCUUGGGUAUAUACCUAGAAGUAGAAUUUCUGGAUUGUAUGGUAAUUCUAUAUUUAAUAUUUUCAAGAACUGCCACGCUGUUUUCCGCAGCUGCUGCACCAGUUUACCUUCCCACCAACAGUGCUCAAGGGUUUCAAUUUCUCUACAUUCUUGCUAACACUUGUUAUUUUCUGUUACUUAUUUAGUUUUUUAUUUUUGAUAAUAGUCUAAUGAGUGUGAGGUUGUAUCUCAUCGUGGUUUGAUUUCCAUUUUCCAUUAUAACUAGUGAUGUUGAAGAUCUUUUCGGGUAGUUACUGGUCAUUUGUAUAUCUGUCUUGGAGAAAUAUCUAUUCAAGUCCUUUGCCCAUUUUUCG